rnacentral:rRNA from 1 species
AGUCUGGUGCCAGCAGCCGCGGUAAUUCCAGCUUCACGAGUGUAUGUUUAAGUUGUUGCAGUUAAAAAGCUCGUAGUUGAACUUCUGUUUGCUCAGAAAGUAGCUUACUACUAACUGGACGAACAUCCGCCUGAAAAGCCAUUCGGAUCUUUACUGAUUCAAUGGUGGAUUAGGCAUUUUACUUUGAAAAAAUUAGAGUGUUCAAAGCAGGCCUACGCCUGAAUACAUUAGCAUGGAAUAAUGGAAUAGGACUCUGUCCAUUUUGUUGGUUAUUGGGUGGAGUAAUGAUUAAUAGGGACAGUUGGGGCAUUUGUAUUUAAUUGUCAGAGGUGAAAUUCUUGGAUUUAUUAAAGACAAACUUAUGCGAAAGCAUUUGCCAAGGAUGUUUUCAUUAAUCAAGAACGAAAGUUAGAGGAUCAAAGACGAUCAGAUACCGUCCUAGUUUUAACUAUAAACUAUGCCGACUCGGUCUUAGUCAAGUCUUCAAUACUUGAUUGGUGCCGUAUGAGAAAUCAAAGUCUUUGGGUUCCGGGGGGAGUAUGGUCGCAAGACUGAAACUUAAAGGAAUAGACGGAACAUUACACCAGGUGUGGAUCCUGUGGCUUAAUUUGACCCAACACGGGGAAACUUACCAGCGCAAAACAAGGGUGGGAUUGACAGAUUGAGAGCUCUUUCUUGAUUCUUUGGAUAGUGGUGCAUGGCCGUUCUUAGUUGGUGGAGUGAUUUGUCUGCUUAAUUGCGUUAACGAACGAGACCUCAACCUGCUUACUAGACGCAUGAUUAUCCAUCGUGUGCUCUUCUUAGAGGGACUGUGCGUUUCAAACGCAAGGAAGUUUGAGGCAAUAACAGGUCUGUGAUGCCCUUAGAUGUGCUGGGCCGCACGCGGGAUACAAUGACCAGUUCAGCAAGUACUACCUGACCCGGAAGGGAGUGGGUAAUCUUACAGUACUGGUCGUGCUAGGGAUAGAUCUUUGCAAUUAUAGAUCUUGAACGAGGAAUACCUAGUAAGUGCAAGUCAUCAGCUUGUACUGAUUACGUCCCUAGUGUUUGUACUCACCGCCCGUCGCUCCUACCAAUUUCGAAUGAUCCGGUGAACCUUCUGGAUUGGGUGCAAGCCUAAGAAGUUAAGUAAACCUUAUCAUUUAGAGGAAGGAGAAGUC